GCUCUGCUGAGGAGUCCCAUACUAGGACGAAACGGUCGUCCAGUGC
rnacentral:hammerhead_ribozyme from 1 species